rnacentral:rRNA from 1 species
UACGUAGGCAGCAAGCGUUGUUCGGAAUUACUGGGCGUAAAGGGCUCGUAGGCGGCCAACUAAGUCAGACGUGAAAUCCCCAGGCUCAACCUGGGAACUGCGUCUGAUACUGGAUGGCUUGAAUCCGGGAGAGGGAUGCAGAAUUCCAGGUGUAGCGGUGAAAUGCGUAGAUAUCUGGAGGAAUACCGGUGGCGAAGGCGGCAUCCUGGACCGGCAUUGACGCUGAGGAGCGAAAGCCAGGGGAGCAAACGGG